GACGAACGCUGGCGGCGUGCCUAAUACAUGCAAGUCGAGCGGACAGAAGGGAGCUUGCUCCCGGAAGUUAGCGGCGGACGGGUGAGUAACACGUGGGCAACCUACCCUGUAGAUCGGGAUAACAUCGAGAAAUCGGUGCUAAUACCGGAUAAUCAUUUGAAGUGCAUGCUUCGAAUGUAAAAGAUGGCUCCGGCUAUCACUACGGGAUGGGCCCGCGGCGCAUUAGCUAGUUGGUAAGGUAAUGGCUUACCAAGGCAACGAUGCGUAGACGACAGGAGAGGGUGAUCGGCCACACUGGGACUGAGCGACGGCCCAGACUCCUACGGGAGGCAGCAGUAGGGAAUCUUCCGCAAUGGACGAAAGUCUGACGGAGCAACGCCGCGUGAGUGAUGAAGGUUUUCGGAUCGUAAAGCUCUGUUGUUAGGGAAGAACAAGUGCCGUUUGAAUAAGGCGGCACCUUGACGGUACCUAACCAGAAAGCCACGGCUAACUACGUGCCAGCCGCCGCAGUAACAC
rnacentral:rRNA from 1 species